rnacentral:tRNA from 1 species
UGGGGUUGUGGCUCAUUGGUAGAGUGCUGCCUAGCAUGUGCAAGGCCCUGGGUUUGAUCCUCAGCACCACAA